AGAGCGAACGCUGGCGGCGUGCUUAACACAUGCAAGUCGAGUGCGCGCCUGUAGCAAUACAGGUGGCGCACGGCGCACGGGUGCGUAACACGUGGGUAAUCUGCCCUUCGAUGGGGAAUAACUCCGGGAAACCGAAGCUAAUUCCGCAUAACAUUCCUUGGACCUCGGUCUGGGGAUUCAAAGCCGUAAGGCGUCGGAGGAGGAACCCGCGCACGAUUAGUUAGUUGGCAGGGUAACGGCCUACCAAGACUUUGAUCGUUAGCUGGUCUGAGAGGAUGGCCAGCCACACUGGAACUGAGACACGGUCCAGACUCCUACGGGAGGCAGCAGUGGGGAAUCUUGCACAAUGGGCGAAAGCCUGACGCAGCGACGCCGCGUGCGGGAUGAAGGCCUUCGGGUUGUAACCGCUUUCACCAGGGACGAAGCGAGAGUGACGGUACCGUGGGGAAGAAGCGCCGGCUAACGUACGUGCCAGCAGCCGC
rnacentral:rRNA from 1 species